rnacentral:rRNA from 1 species
UAACACAUGCAAGUCGAACGAUGAUCCCAGCUUGCUGGGGGAUUAGUGGCGAACGGGUGAGUAACACGUGAGUAACCUGCCCUUAACUCUGGGAUAAGCCUGGGAAACUGGGUCUAAUACCGGAUAUGACUCCUCAUCGCAUGGUGGGGGGUGGAAAGCUUUAUUGUGGUUUUGGAUGGACUCGCGGCCUAUCAGCUUGUUGGUGAGGUAAUGGCUCACCAAGGCGACGACGGGUAGCCGGCCUGAGAGGGUGACCGGCCACACUGGGACUGAGACACGGCCCAGACUCCUACGGGAGGCAGCAGUGGGGAAUAUUGCACAAUGGGCGAAAGCCUGAUGCAGCGACGCCGCGUGAGGGAUGACGGCCUUCGGGUUGUAAACCUCUUUCAGUAGGGAAGAAGCGAAAGUGACGGUACCUGCAGAAGAAGCGCCGGCUAACUACGUGCCAGCAGCCGCGGUAAUACGUAGGGCGCAAGCGUUAUCCGGAAUUAUUGGGCGUAAAGAGCUCGUAGGCGGUUUGUCGCGUCUGCCGUGAAAGUCCGGGGCUCAACUCCGGAUCUGCGGUGGGUACGGGCAGACUAGAGUGAUGUAGGGGAGACUGGAAUUCCUGGUGUAGCGGUGAAAUGCGCAGAUAUCAGGAGGAACACCGAUGGCGAAGGCAGGUCUCUGGGCAUUAACUGACGCUGAGGAGCGAAAGCAUGGGGAGCGAACAGGAUUAGAUACCCUGGUAGUCCAUGCCGUAAACGUUGGGCACUAGGUGUGGGGGACAUUCCACGUUUUCCGCGCCGUAGCUAACGCAUUAAGUGCCCCGCCUGGGGAGUACGGCCGCAAGGCUAAAACUCAAAGGAAUUGACGGGGGCCCGCACAAGCGGCGGAGCAUGCGGAUUAAUUCGAUGCAACGCGAAGAACCUUACCAAGGCUUGACAUGAACCGGUAAUACCUGGAAACAGGUGCCCCGCUUGCGGUCGGUUUACAGGUGGUGCAUGGUUGUCGUCAGCUCGUGUCGUGAGAUGUUGGGUUAAGUCCCGCAACGAGCGCAACCCUCGUUCUAUGUUGCCAGCGCGUUAUGGCGGGGACUCAUAGGAGACUGCCGGGGUCAACUCGGAGGAAGGUGGGGACGACGUCAAAUCAUCAUGCCCCUUAUGUCUUGGGCUUCACGCAUGCUACAAUGGCCGGUACAAAGGGUUGCGAUACUGUGAGGUGGAGCUAAUCCCAAAAAGCCGGUCUCAGUUCGGAUUGGGGUCUGCAACUCGACCCCAUGAAGUCGGAGUCGCUGUAAUCGCAGAUCAGCAACGCUGCG